CUUGUCGCCCGCUGGGUUGGAGUAACGGAGCUGGAGACGAAGAGACGCGGGGGAGAGACAGACAGAUGGCUUCAAUCGUCAAAUCUCCUUCUCCACCUCCUCCACCUCCUCCACCUCCGCUCAUCAAACAAGAGGCUGAUGAUGAUGAUGAUGAGGAGAGCCCAGAGUCUGGGAUGAGCCCUCACUUGGCGGUGAAACGUGAAGACGCCACCGCUGACGAUGACGACGACGACGACGAUGAAGGAGCGGCAGCGGCAAUCGCUGGAGGAAGCCCCGAGGUGCAUCAGCAGG